rnacentral:rRNA from 1 species
UAACACAUGCAAGUCGAGGGGCAGCAUGGUCUUAGCUUGCUAAGGCCGAUGGCGACCGGCGCACGGGUGAGUAACGCGUAUCCAACCUGCCUUACACUCUUGGACAGCCUUCUGAAAGGGAGAUUAAUACAAGAUGUUAUCAUGAGUAAGCAUUUUCGCAUGAUUAAAGGUUUACCGGUGUAAGAUGGGGAUGCGUUCCAUUAGAUAGUAGGCGGGGUAACGGCCCACCUAGUCUUCGAUGGAUAGGGGUUCUGAGAGGAAGGUCCCCCACAUUGGAACUGAGACACGGUCCAAACUCCUACGGGAGGCAGCAGUGAGGAAUAUUGGUCAAUGGACGAGAGUCUGAACCAGCCAAGUAGCGUGAAGGAUGAAGGUUCUAUGGAUUGUAAACUUCUUUUAUACGGGAAUAAACGGAUCCACGUGUGGAUUUUUGCAUGUACCGUAUGAAUAAGGAUCGGCUAACUCCGUGCCAGCAGCCGCGGUAAUACGGAGGAUCCGAGCGUUAUCCGGAUUUAUUGGGUUUAAAGGGAGCGUAGAUGGGUUGUUAAGUCAGUUGUGAAAGUUUGCGGCUCAACCGUAAAAUUGCAAUUGAUACUGGCAGUCUUGAGUACAGUUGAGGUAGGCGGAAUUCGUGGUGUAGCGGUGAAAUGCUUAGAUAUCACGAAGAACUCCGAUUGCGAAGGCAGCUUACUAACCUGUAACUGACAUUGAUGCUCGAAAGUGUGGGUAUCAAACAGGAUUAGAUACCCUGGUAGUCCACACGGUAAACGAUGAAUACUCGCUGUAGGCGAUAUACAGUCUGCGGCCAAGCGAAAGCAUUAAGUAUUCCACCUGGGGAGUACGCCGGCAACGGUGAAACUCAAAGGAAUUGACGGGG